UGAAACCAAGCUUCACGAAAACAAAGGAACAUUUGUGAUUUGUUUUACAUAUCCCUCAUCAAUUAUUUUCGUGAGCCCCCUCUCUCUCAGGAUUUCUAGGUUUUCUGAAACGGAUUAGGGUUUCCAUUAUCUUGGUCGCCGUCCCAAAAUUUCGAAUCUUUAGGUUUUGAUUUGGAGGUUUCAAAAGGGGGUCUUCGAAGGAGGUUGUAGAUUUGGUCAAAUUUUAUUCAUUUAUUGUAUAAACUGAAUGAGCUAAUGGAGUCAAAGGGUGG